GCCCUAUAAGCUGGGAGGGGAGGGGAGUGAGAGUUUCAGGGAUCUGAGCAAUGCCACUGCUAUCACCAAGCUGAAAAUAACCUCUGACAAAAGCCUGGCAUUUUGUUCCCUUAUGUCUGCUUGUGAGUAGGUGGACAACAAUGCAGCCCCUCAGAUUACACCUAAAGGACAUUCCUGACUGCAGCCUAACAAAUCAGAAAUAAAGAUUAAAGUUGUGUAGUUGCUCUACUGCAUUGCUUGAAUGUGAAUCAUAAAAUAACAGUCCUUGAAAUUAUGAUCUCGUUAUUAAUUGUCACAUUGUCAAAAAUAAUUUACCAAAAUAAUUGUUAAAAAUAAUAAUACAUCAAAACUUGUUUGUAGCAGCUCCAGGAAAACAGCAGUUUUAAAGUAAAUAGCAUUUCAUUCUGCAGUUCAUGAUUUGAGAAAUACAAGUGGUUUGUCUUCUAGGAUACAGAGGAUUAUGCUUUUACCUAAAAUCUUUCAUUUUUUACUGUUUUUAGGCAUUAAGAUGGGUAGGUAAUAUGUAUAAUAUUUAGCCUGUGUAAUUAUUGCAAUUAUCUUUGCUAUGCCUGCCUGAGCUCCUUGGAAAUGGAUGAGGCUGCAGAUGUAUUAGAGAUGUGGGCAGUAAAGUAUGAACUUUUUUACAGGUCUUUAUUUUUAGGGCUUUAAAAGUUUAGAAGGUAAUUCUCCUUUUUCUGAGCAGAUACCUGGAUUUAGCAACUUUGCUCAGGAUCUUGGACUUUGCUGUGUGUGAAAGGGCCCAUCCCAGGGUUUAAACACCAGAACUCUCAAGCUGAAAGUCUCAACUUGGGGACUCUCAUGGAAGCGUAAGAAAAUAGAUGACAAAUCCAUGUCAGACUUUAGGAUUUAGGGGUCUGUUAGCUGAGGCUGCUAAGAAAACUCCUGGGAACAUAUAUAUCUGUUUGCUGUUGAGUCUGGCGCAGAUUUUAUAAUGCAGAGACAGGUCCUUGAUGUGAAAUUGAAGGACUAUUUCUUUCCUGAGCAGAGGAGCUGGACUCCAUCUCUUCUGGGUCGUUCUCCCCAGAUAGUUAAUGGAACUAUUCUGUAUCAGAGAAAGCCAAAUGCAGAGGGGACAGUGCAGUGUGUGGUAUGAGGGUUCCUUGUAAGAGGGCAGCAAGAAGGGGUUGGGGCAGGCCUGAACUCCCUCUUGGAAUACAAGGGAAGCACUGAGAAGCUUCUUAAAUCUUUGUGUUUGCACCCUUGAUGACUUACAUUAGGAACCCUGACAUUUGUGAGGGAUGAACCUUCUGUAAUGUUCACUCAUAUUUAAUAGAUCAUGUACUUGGAUGGAUUUGCACCAUAACCAACUGCAGGGAACUCUGUGAAGGAAGCUUUUGGCCCAAAAUGUUCUCUACAGCAAUCAGUCUUAACUACAGAAUACUGAAUUUUAUUGAUGAA